rnacentral:rRNA from 1 species
GAUGAACGCUGGCGGCGUGCCUAAUACAUGCAAGUCGAGCGAACAGAUAAGGAGCUUGCUCCUUUGACGUUAGCGGCGGGCGGGUGAGUAACACGUGGGUAACCUACCUAUAAGACUGGGAUAACUUCGGGAAACCGGAGCUAAUACCGGAUAAUAUUUCGAACCGCAUGGUUCGAUAGUGAAAGAUGGUUUUGCUAUCACUUAUAGAUGGACCCGCGCCGUAUUAGCUAGUUGGUAAGGUAACGGCUUACCAAGGCGACGAUACGUAGCCGACCUGAGAGGGUGAUCGGCCACACUGGAACUGAGACACGGUCCAGACUCCUACGGGAGGCAGCAGUAGGGAAUCUUCCGCAAUGGGCGAAAGCCUGACGGAGCAACGCUGCGUGAGUGAUGAAGGUCUUCGGAUCGUAAAACUCUGUUAUUAGGGAAGAACAUACGUGUAAGUAACUGUGCACGUCUUGACGGUACCUAAUCAGAAAGCCACGGCUAACUACGUG